AUAAGAAUCACUUGGGAAUCUUGUUAAAAUGAAGAUUCUGAUUCAGUAGGUCUGGGGCAAGGCACAAGGUUCUACAGUUAUAAUAAGUUCCCAAGUGAUGCCAAC
rnacentral:pre_miRNA from 1 species